CUUAAAAACUCAUCACUUCUUAAUCAUUUUACUAUUACCCUCUAUGCUCUUACUUUUUUAUUGUCUAUGUGCAUGGUGGGAAAAAUUGUGCUAGCAUGCAUCUUGUCCCAAUUAUCCAUUUAUUAAGAGUUAUGUUGGCAACUUGAAAUGCAAAAAUGGUACAAAAUCAGGACUUGAUUUAUUGUUGACUGUCUAGACUUAAGGAAGUGCUAAAGAAGAUGCUAAUAAUGCAGAUUAAACUUAAAAGUCUAUCAUCUCUU
rnacentral:lncRNA from 1 species